rnacentral:rRNA from 1 species
UACGUAGGGUGCGAGCGUUAAUCGGAAUUACUGGGCGUAAAGCGUGCGCAGGCGGUCUGUUAAGACCGAUGUGAAAUCCCCGGGCUUAACCUGGGAACUGCAUUGGUGACUGGCAGGCUUUGAGUGUGGCAGAGGGAGGUAGAAUUCCACGUGUAGCAGUGAAAUGCGUAGAGAUGUGGAGGAAUACCGAUGGCGAAGGCAGCUUCCUGGGCCAACACUGACGCUCAUGCACGAAAGCGUGGGGAGCAAACAGG